rnacentral:rRNA from 1 species
GACGAACGCUGGCGGCGCGCUUAACACAUGCAAGUCGAGCGAUAACCAUGGCUUCGGCCAUGGGGAGAGCGGCGAACGGGUGAGUAACACGUGAGCGAUCUGCCCUCGACACCGGGAUAGCCCGGGGAAGCCCGGAUUAAUACCGGAUGGCCUCUCGAGCCCACGGGCUCGUUAGAAAAGAUGGCUUCGGCUUUCGGUCGAGGAGGAGCUUGCGGCGGAUUAGCUUGUUGGUGGGGUAACGGCUCACCAAGGCGACGAUCCGUAGCUGGUCUGAGAGGACGAGCAGCCACACUGGGACUGAGACACGGCCCAGAAUCCUACGGGAGGCAGCAGUGGGGAAUCUUGCGCAAUGGGCGAAAGCCUGACGCAGCGACGCCGCGUGAGGGAAGAAGGCCUUCGGGUUGUAAACCUCUUUCAGGAGGGACGAAGCCACUCGGGUUAAUAGCCCAGAGGGUGACGGUACCUCCAGAAGAAGCCCCGGCUAACUACGUGCCAGCCGCCGCGGUAAGAC